rnacentral:tRNA from 1 species
GGGGCCGUAGUCUAGCCAGGGAUGACGACGGGCUCCAGACUCGGCGGAUGUCGUGGGUUCAAAUCCCACCGGCCCCA